AUUGAACGCUGGCGGCAGGCCUAACACAUGCAAGUCGAGCGGAGCGGCGGGCGGGCGAGUCAUGCAUAGGCAUCUGCCUGGACGUGGGGGAUAAAGUCAGGAUACGAGCGGUAAUACCUCACAGUAGCAGAUGCGCCUAGGUCGGAUUUGCUGGUUGGUGGGGUAAAGGCCUACCAAGGCGACGAUCCGUAACUGGUUUGAGAGGAGGAACAGUCACACUGGAACUGAGAAACGGUCCAGACUCCUACGGCAGGCAGCAGUGGGGAGUAUUGCACAAUGGGCGAAAGCCUGAUCCAGCCAUGCCGCGUGUGUGAAGAAGGUCUCCGGUUUUUAAAGCACUUUAAGUUGUGAGGCGUUACCAACAGAAUAAGCACCGGCUAACUUCGUGCCAGCAGCCGCGGUAAUAC
rnacentral:rRNA from 1 species